GCUGGGUGUGGUGGCGGGCGCCUGUAAUCCCAGCUACUUGGGAGGCUGAGACAGAACUGCUUGAACCUGGGAGGCGGAGAUUGCAGUGAGCUGAGACUGUGCCAUUGCACUCCAGCCUGGGCAAGAAGAGCAAAACUCUUUUUUUUUUUUUUUUUUUUUUUUGAGACGGAGUCUCAUUCUGUCGCCCAGGCUGGAGUGCAGUGGCCGGAUCUCAGCUCACUGCAAGCUCUGCCUCCCGGGUUCAUGCCAUUCUCCU
rnacentral:SRP_RNA from 1 species